GUUAGAACUUGAGUCCAUCAUCAAACAGAGAAGGAAACUGGUUUUAGGGCCGGGAAGGUAUGACAUCACCUCCCUUGAAAUUUCCCGUAGUUCCCAAUUCUGUGCCAUGGAUAUGAUGAUUAAAAUGAAUUUAAAUUUUAUAGGAAAGGCAAUCCCCUUUCGAACAUGCCUGUAAAGGAGUGGAAAGUGAGAUUAUGAUUUCUAAGGCCUUGGUUUCCCAAGCCUGUGACUCAGAGGCAGGUAAUGAUGCUUGGUCCUCACUCCCUCCAGAGAGUAUAUCCAGCAGGUAGAUUACUCCAUCCCUCAUCCAGAGUGGAGUUGCCAGUCAGGAAUUAUAUCUGCUUCCUGGCUAACAUCUUGUUCAUAGGAAUUCAUGUGGGCAGACUCUUUUUCUCUUUCUGCAACACCGCCACCAAGCUAGCUCUCCUUGUCCCCUCAAUACUAGAGGUCCAGCUGUCCCUUACUGACACACAGUAGCUGGAAAAGCCAAACUCAUCUCGCUGCUGUGUUAGCAUAGCUGCUCUUGGCCUGCCUGUAUCCCUACCCCACCCCCACCCCACCCCCAGGCUUGCUCCCUGGACGGACCAGAAUCUGGUCACUGUCCACCUCCCUCUCGCUGGAGUGACCUUUUACCAUCCGUAAAGAACCUCUGCACAGAGGCCAGUCAGUAAUUCCAACCCAAGAACCUCACUCUUUAAGCAUGCCUAAAAUGUUCUGGGAACUUCCCAAUGCCUGGAUAUUUCAAGAAACUCAAACAAGACUCUAGCCAGAGCUCAUAGUUUGUAAGCAUUAGCAACAGCAUCUGAAAAAAAAAAUCUCUAUUUAAAAAUUCUUAAAUUUGCCUCUGGGUUUGAGCUGUAAUGACUAGAAGUUGGAGUUUACGCUGUUGAGUGUAGAAACAGCCCGAGGCGCACACUCUUCAAGCUUGUCUGUCUGCUGUGCUGAGAGCCAUGGCAGGUUCCUUUUCUGCCCGCCCCCUCUGGAAAAGCUCGCCAACCCGCACUUUUUCCAUGCCCAAGUCUUUUCUUGUCUCCUUCCUGUCCAUUUAUUGUCUCCUUUACCCACCUCCCUGCCGUUUGGACUUGGAAAACUCAACAGGUCCACCCACCCAAACUUUCCUGCGAGUUCUCAUCAAGCAUGAAUUUAAAUUUGAGAAUAGAUUAUGUGCCUUAGCCUCUUUCCUUUUUUUUUUUUUUUUAAUGAUAAACAAGAGGCUUAUGGUUUCUCUCUCCUCCGGGUUUUAUCAUUAAGAUUAAGUAACCGCAUUCUCAGGCUUGCCACUGUACAAACAUCUUUUCAGUUGUGAGAGGAACAGACUCACAUCUUCUUCACAAAGGAUCUAUUGAAAAAUCAGAAAGCAUGCUUCCAAGAGAGAAAGCUGGGGAGUGCUGGGGGGCGGGGAGAGGGGAGGGAGGCUCAGAUGACAAAAUGAAUGUAAUUGUUUACCCUUAAAAUAUAUCUUUAGCUUGGCCACUGAAAAAUCUCUUGGAACAUUGUGUUUUGGUACAAGUUGUUACAGAGUUUGUCCAAAGUCAUGAGUUGCUGGAGAAGGUUUCAGAAGCCCUGGCAAUGGGUGGUGGCUUCUAGUGUGACUGGGAGUUGGUGUGAUAGCCUUCACUGGGAGUUGGUGUGAUAGCUCUCAUUAGGAGUUGGUGUGAUAGCUCUCAUUGGGAGUUGGUGUGAUAGCUCUCAUAUGGACUCCCACCUGCCAUCACUUCUGGGAUACAUAUGAUGCUGAGAAUUUCAGUGAUGCUUAUAGACUCACGAAAAUGGUGUCCCCCGCCCUUG
rnacentral:lncRNA from 1 species